rnacentral:lncRNA from 1 species
CACUGUGACUUUGAAAUGAAGAAUUGCAAUAAAUGUGCUUUUUGUGUGUGUGUUUUUUUUUAUGUGCAUGAACUGAUUUUGUAUCAUGGAUAGACACCUCAUAUCCUUAGUUUUUCUAUUCUAUAACAACCUGGUAGAUGAGGUGUACAUCAUCAUUUUUAUUUUAAAAUGCCAAAAUCAAGUCCUGACACUAUCCCCUACAAUAGGUAUGUCAGAUAGGCUGAAGUGCAUGUCAAGCAACUAUAUACAAAUCUUGUUAUGUUUUCCUCUGAGUUCAGUAUUUUUGUGAUUUUACUUUUCCAUGAUAUUAGAAUCAUACAGAUUCAGUAUACAGAGG